rnacentral:rRNA from 1 species
UUGGAGGGCAAGUCUGGUGCCAGCAGCCGCGGUAAUCCCAGCUCCAAUAGCGUAUAUUAAAGUUGUUGCAGUUAAAAAGCUCGUAGUUGAACUUCAGGCCUGGCUGGGCGGUCCGCCUCACGGCGUGUACUGUCUGGCUGGGUCUUACCUCUUGGUGAGCCAGCGUGGCCUUUAUUGGUUGCGUCGAGGAACCAGGACUUUUACCUUGAGAAAAUUAGAGUGUUUAAAGCAGGC